AUUUAGUUGGGUGUUAUUUACUCAAGUUGACACAAUCAACCUUCACAGUUAUGGAAGUUUCAUCAAUUUUUGGACAAGUCUGAUCAUUCAAGUGUUCUUUCUUCUACUGUGUGUCACCCCUCCUGUACUUGAAGACGGCGGUUCUGUAAUCACCAAGUUCUCUCACCUAUAGUUUCUCCGUGGCUCACUGAAUGCAGCCAGUUGCUGUUACCAUUGCUCUCAUGACCAGGUGUCAGUUUGGCUUGGCUCCCUCUGCCCAUUUCCUAUAAUGUUACAAUGCUGGCUUUGCAUGUGUAUGGUGUAUUCUCUAUUAAUUCAGUGCCAAUGCUGUACAAACUAUGCCCAAGGCAACCCAAUCAAAGUAACAAAAUUCCCAGUAAUAAGAUUUUCACAGGUAGGGGCAAUUUGAAUAGGCAAACAACACUAUAGGAACUGACUUUUUCAGGGUACAAG
rnacentral:lncRNA from 1 species